rnacentral:lncRNA from 1 species
CCGGACUUUGCGGGCGGGCGGGCACUGGUGAGAAGAGGAAGUGGGAGAGGCCUGGGAAGGAAACUUGGAAACCGAAAACUCGGCGGCCGAGGCUCCGUGCCCCGCGCGCAGCGCUGCUCCUGCCCCGGCCAAGGACGCACGGGCCAGCCGGCGGAACCAGAGGUUUUCAGUGAUGUUGAGAGUCAACAGGAAAUUAAUCAGCAAGUAGAAAAUUGAAAGAAGAUCUGCAUCUUACUGCAGGAGUCAUUAAAAUAAAAGCAGAUUUGGCAAAAUGGCAAGAACCAGAGGAUGAGGAUGUAAAACAAAAACUUUUGGAGUCAUUUUGCCACCAGGAUGAAAAUAGGAUGAAGCUGACAUGACAAAGGUGCAGAUAAGGAAAUUGGGUCUCAGAGAUGUUAAAUGACUGGCCUGUGAUGACACAACUAGAAAGGGGCAGAACAUCCCAAUGUAGGCUGAUGCCUGAACCAGGACACUUAAUCUGCAUGCUGUCCUCCCUCUGCAGACACAAUGGCAAUGAAUGGACCACACCAAAUCUACAGUGAAUAUGCAGCAAGAGACCUGAGCCAAGUAACCCCAGCACAGUCUGAGAUGUGCAAGGCAGAAGCAAAUUUAAGGAGAAUGAAACGGAAAGCAAGGCCCAAUUAAAAUCCAAAUGAA